GGCAGUGUGCAUAUAUUAAAACAUCACAGUAUUAGCUUUUACAUCAGAAUAGAAGUUAACUAGGCUCUACUAUCAGUACUAGUUAAGCAGAAGGGUUAACACUAACAGCUAAAAGGAUCUUCAGCAAAGUCUAGCAAUUAGUGCAGGUAAGUUGCCUGAUAGUGGUAACCAUUUCCAAAGAAGUUGCCAUGUCCGGGAGGAAAGUUGUAGGCAGUACCAAGGAAUGGCGGAACGUGGGUGUCAGCUGGUCCAGGGUAAGCAUAUGGUCGGUCAUAUAUGUACUGUGGAUACCUAUCAGUCAUUCUACUAGCAUAGAAGUUCUUCUCAGAGGCAACACUAGUGGCUCGAGCUCCAUUUCCUACACAAUUGGCACGAGGUCUCUUGGGUUGAGGUUUGGCAACUUCAGUUGCUCUUUUCUUG
rnacentral:misc_RNA from 1 species